UACGUAGGGGGCAAGCGUUGUCCGGAAUCAUUGGGCGUAAAGAGCGUGUAGGCGGCCCGGUAAGUCCGCUGUGAAAGUCCAGGGCUCAACCCUGGGAUGCCGGUGGAUACUGUCGGGCUCGAGUCCGGAAGAGGAGUGUGGAAUUCCUGGUGGUAGCGGUGAAAUGCGCAGAUAUCAGGAGGAACACCAAUGGCGAAGGCAGCACUCUGGGACGUGACUGACGCUGAGACGCGAAAGCGUGGGGAGCGAAACAGGA
rnacentral:rRNA from 1 species